GAUGAACGCUGGCGGCGUGCCUAAUACAUGCAAGUCGAGCGAACGGACGAGAAGCUUGCUUCUCUGAUGUUAGCGGCGGACGGGUGAGUAACACGUGGAUAACCUACCUAUAAGACUGGGAUAACUUCGAGAAACCGGAGCUAAUACCGGAUAAUAUUUUGAACCGCAUGGUUCAAAAGUGAAAGACGGUCUUGCUGUCACUUAUAGAUGGAUCCGCGCUGCAUUAGCUAGUUGGUAAGGUAACGGCUUACCAAGGCAACGAUGCAUAGCCGACCUGAGAGGGUGAUCGGCCACACUGGAACUGGGACACGGUCCAGACUCCUACGGGAGGCAGCAGUAGGGAAUCUUCCGCAAUGGGCGAAAGCCUGACGGAGCAACGCCGCGUGAGUGAUGAAGGUCUUCGGAUCGUAAAACUCUGUUAUUAGGGAAGAACAUAUGUGUAAGUAACUGUGCACAUCUUGACGGUACCUAAUCAGAAAGCCACGGCUAACUACGUG
rnacentral:rRNA from 1 species